rnacentral:rRNA from 1 species
GACGAACGCUGGCGGCGUGCUUAACACAUGCAAGUCGAACGGAAAGGCCCUGCUUUUGUGGGGUGCUCGAGUGGCGAACGGGUGAGUAACACGUGAGUAACCUGCCCUUGACUUUGGGAUAACUUCAGGAAACUGGGGCUAAUACCGGAUAGGAGCUCCUGCUGCAUGGUGGGGGUUGGAAAGUUUCGGCGGUUGGGGAUGGACUCGCGGCUUAUCAGCUUGUUGGUGGGGUAGUGGCUUACCAAGGCUUUGACGGGUAGCCGGCCUGAGAGGGUGACCGGCCACAUUGGGACUGAGAUAGGGCCCAGACUCCUACGGGAGGCAGCAGUGGGGAAUAUUGCACAAUGGGCGGAAGCCUGAUGCAGCAACGCCGCGUGCGGGAUGACGGCCUUCGGGUUGUAAACCGCUUUCGCCUGUGACGAAGCGUGAGUGACGGUAAUGGGUGAAGAAGCACCGGCUAACUACGUG